CAGGAAAUUAAGAAAACAGAGACUUUGAAGUUAACCCAAAUCUGCUACUAACUUCCAAAAUUUGAUAAAUCAUGUGAGGAAAGGA
rnacentral:snoRNA from 1 species